rnacentral:rRNA from 1 species
AUGGCCUGGGUGGAGAUGACCAUCCAUUCUCCUCCAGCAGCCUGCGGUCAAUCGGACCGAAGCUUCCUCCGGCUGUCCAGUACGUUGAGCAUGGCAGCGUUGGUGAUGAGGGUCAUUCCCAAGCGACCCAAGACGCUCGCCGCUGUUGCCGCCGGCAGAUCACAAGGCCGAAGGAGGUGGUUCGUCCGAUCGAUGCGAGGGGGCAAUUUUCGUCCUGACCAUGGCGGCACCGUCCGGCCACUCGAGCCGCAGAUUGCAGUGGCCAUUCAAGGGUCUUCAUGA